GCACACACUGUGUCUCUAUUUGAAAUUUGUUUUGUUACAAAAUGUAAACCUUUUUUUUAAACAUUCACCAACACACUCACACAGGCACAUACUACUCAAUAAGUAGACUUAUGUUUCAACACCUGUUUACCCAAUGUAAUGUUAGAGACUUUAGUUGACUCAUACCUUAUAGCAUGUCUAUUGUAGUAUUAUAAGUGUCAGACUACACUACUAAAUGACCAUACAAAUGUAUGUACAGUAGAACCACUUAGGAAAACUCUAUACUCUCUCUAUUUCCAUACUGCCCAGCCUUAGACUUUUGUGCUAAUAAAUAAACUUCUCUCUAGACGCUGGAAGUUCUGUCAGGGACAAGUCUUAAUGUUGAGGUAGGUAUAGGUAUAGGUAGAUGCAUUUGAGAAUGAAAUCCUUCGGGUUCAAUGGGAUAGACUCCAACAUGCUGAACUUAUGACCUUGUCAUCAAUAUCAAUCAAAGUCAUCCAGAAAGUCAAGGUCAACCUUUACAACAACAUUCACACGCACACAUACAAAAUUGUCUGCACUCCAAGAUGACAUUAUGUGACUUUUUUUCUCUUCAAAAUGUUCCAAUGCUUUGGUCAUGUGUCCAAGUAGUUUAUGCUUCACAUUUAAUAAAAAAAAAAGGAAUGUGUAAUGUGUUGUUAGACCUCUCUUAAUCUUGAAUGACUGUGUCCAGUGUUGUCUUUCUUAGAGCUGUUUUUUUCUCACCUUGACUGCCACAUUGUGCAGUGCUGUCAUAGGGUAGACAAUGUUUCCACAUUCUGAAAUAAAUAUUCAACUGAAAUAUAAA